rnacentral:rRNA from 1 species
UCCGUAGGCGGGCAAUUAAGUCAGAGGUGAAAUCCCACAGCUCAACUGUGGAACUGCCUUUGAUACUGGUUGUCUUGAGUUAUAGUGAAGUAGAUAGAAUAUGUAGUGAAGCGGUGAAAUGCAUAGAUAUUACAUAGAAUACCGAUUGCGAAGGCAGUCUACUAACUGUAUACUGACGCUAAUGGACGAAAGCGUGGGGAGCGAACAGGAUUAGAUACCCUGGUAGUCC